rnacentral:rRNA from 1 species
UACGGAGGGUGCGAGCGUUGUCCGGAAUCACUGGGCGUAAAGGGCGCGUAGGCGGCUUCUUAAGCGGGCGGUGAAAGCCCGGGGCUCAACCCCGGGUCGGCCGUGCGAACUGGGAAGCUCGAGCACUGUAGAGGCAGGUGGAAUUCCGGGUGUAGCGGUGGAAUGCGUAGAGAUCCGGAAGAACACCGGUGGCGAAGGCGGCCUGCUGGGCAGUGGCUGACGCUGAGGCGCGACAGCGUGGGGAGCAAACGGG